UGGCUGAGUGGUUAAGCGCUUGGCUUUCAACCUUGGGUCCAGAGUUCGAAUCUCUG
rnacentral:tRNA from 1 species